rnacentral:ncRNA from 3 species
GACCCGAAAGAUGGUGAACU